CCCCUUUUACCUAAACAAGGAAAAAACAAAUACAUUUUGGGUGGGCCUAGAGACCCAAGCUAUCGCUCGCUUGGACUAUUUAAUCGAAAAAUACUGCUUGAAUUGUGCAAACUUCUACUAAAAAUUUUGCUCUGAUGUAUCAAGUACAGCUUAUUUUCUGAUUUUCCUAGCAAAUGUGAGAAAAUUGGUAUAAUAUUAAACAAAUAUUAUUAAAGAAAAUAUAUAAUGCCUAUUUAAUUAUUUUUCGUUGCUUACAGAUAUACAUUAAAUUACCUAUUACAGUAGCUGCACUCGAACAUCAUUAUCCUAGGAUGUCUUGUUUUUUAAAUUUGAUGUUCAUAAUCUCUAUAAACCAUUUUUAAAACUUCCACUCUGAAUAUUAUAUCACAAAAAUAAAGUUCUGGUCCAUUAAAUUAUUUUUCAAAAUCACAUUUUAGUAGUAAACACUCAGAAAUGUAUUUUGUACUUUAGUAUUUAAUGACUUACAACAUAAGACUCGUGCAGGUAUCCUAUAAACCUUCAUAGGCUGCAUGCCUGUCUUGUUAUCAUAUUUAGGUAUAAUUACCAUUGUAUAUUAUGUAAUGCAAAAAAUAGGCAGACAGCUAUUU